rnacentral:sRNA from 1 species
GGCAAGAAGUGUAGGGGUCGGUUUCAGAGCUAUGCUGGAAACAGCAUAGCAAGUUGAAAUAAGGCUAGUCCGUUAUCAACUUGAAAAAGUGGCACCGAGUCGGUGCUUUUUUU